rnacentral:rRNA from 1 species
GACGAACGCUGGCGGCGUGCUUAACACAUGCAAGUCGAACGAUGAACCCGGAGCUUGCUCUGGGGGAUUAGUGGCGAACGGGUGAGUAACACGUGAGUAACCUGCCCUGGACUCUGGGAUAAGCGUUGGAAGCGACGUCUAAUACCGGAUAGGACCUUGGAUCGCAUGAUCUGGGGUGGAAAGUUUUUUCGGUCUGGGAUGGACUCGCGGCCUAUCAGCUUGUUGGUGAGGUAAUGGCUCACCAAGGCGUCGACGGGUAGCCGGCCUGAGAGGGUGACCGGCCACACUGGGACUGAGACACGGCCCAGACUCCUACGGGAGGCAGCAGUGGGGAAUAUUGCACAAUGGGCGAAAGCCUGAUGCAGCAACGCCGCGUGCGGGAUGACGGCCUUCGGGUUGUAAACCGCUUUUAGUAGGGAAGAAGGGCUUCGGCUUGACGGUACCUGCAGAAAAAGGACCGGCUAACUACGUG